GACGGGGCCCGGCACAAGCGGUGGAGUAUGUGGUUUAAUUCGAUGCAACGCGAAGAACCUUACCUGGUCUUGACAUCCCGGAGACCCUUAGGAAACUAGGGGGUGCUUCCAUCUGGAAGAAUCUGGAGACAGGUGCUGCAUGGCUGUCGUCAGCUCGUGUCGUGAGAUGUUGGGUUAAGUCCCGCAACGAGCGCAACCCUUGCCUUUAGUUGCCAGCAGUUCGGCUGGGCACUCUAAAGGGACUGCCGGUGUUAAACCGGAGGAAGGUGGGGAUGACGUCAAGUCCUCAUGGCCUUUAUGACCAGGGCUACACACGUACUACAAUGGCCGAUACAAAGGGCAGCGACACUGCGAGGUGAAGCCAAUCCCGUAAAAUCGGUCUCAGUCCGGAUUGGAGUCUGCAACUCGACUCCAUGAAGUUGGAAUCGCUAGUAAUCGUGGAUCAGCAUGCCACGGUGAAUACGUUCCCGGGCCUU
rnacentral:rRNA from 1 species